rnacentral:rRNA from 1 species
UAAAGUCAAAUUAAUUGGUUGAAGCUAAUAAAUAGUUACUGUAAAGUACAACAAUUCUACUUAUUAUUGUAAGAGUAAAAUCUUUAUAAAUAAGAUAGGAAUGUGUUUAUGUAACAUUAAUUCUCUUACGAGGCGCUAACAUAAAGACUAGGAUUAGAUACCCUAUUAUGGGCGUGAGUAUGAAAGUUUAUUAAGUUAAUAGCCUUAAUUAAAGCAAAAUCUAUUUACUAUGGCGGCUGUUAGUCUCACCAGAGUCGUAUGUCCUUAAACGAAACUGCGCGACCAUCUUACCUUUUAACUUUUGCUUAUAUAAAAUAAUUACACUAUAGCAAUCUGGCACGUCGCUGUACUAAAAGUGAAGAUUUUAAAUAACUCAUCUUCUAAUUACUUUCUAGCGUUUAUUAGUAACGUACAAGUCAAGACGCCGUUUUAAGAGGUUUAAGAUGUACGAUUUAAUUGGUUUGAUAGAAUUCAUAAUACUGAAUGAAAACUUUCUUUAUUAAAAUAAUUUGGAAGUAAAAUAGGGUUAUUAUUCUUAUUUGAAAUGAGCUACUAAUAAGU